rnacentral:rRNA from 1 species
UACGAAGGGGGCUAGCGUUGUUCGGAAUUACUGGGCGUAAAGGGCGCGUUGGCGGCCUUGUGAGUCGAGUGUGAAAGCCCUGGGCUUAACCCGGGAAGCGCGCUUGAUACUGCAGGGCUUGAGUGUGGGAGAGGAUGAUGGAAUUCCCAGUGUAGAGGUGAAAUUCGUAGAUAUUGGGAAGAACACCGGUGGCGAAGGCGAUCAUCUGGACCACAACUGACGCUGAGGCGCGAAAGCCAGGGGAGCAAACGGG